UACGGAGGGAGCUAGCGUUGUUCGGAAUUACUGGGCGUAAAGCGCACGUAGGCGGCUUUCUAAGUUAGAGGUGAAAGCCCGGAGCUCAACUCCGGAAUUGCCUUUAAGACUGGAUCGCUUGAACACGGGAGAGGUGAGUGGAAUUCCGAGUGUAGAGGUGAAAUUCGUAGAUAUUCGGAAGAACACCAGUGGCGAAGGCGGCUCACUGGACCGUUGUUGACGCUGAAGUGCGAAAGCGUGGGGAGCAAACAGG
rnacentral:rRNA from 1 species